rnacentral:snRNA from 1 species
AUUGCCUCUUGUUCUUUUAGCUAUGGUCAGAUCUAUUCUUAUCAGUUUAAUAUCUGACACAUUGUCUAAACAAGGUCAAUAUAUUAAUUGGAUUUUUCAGCAGGAAGAUUAGGAGCACUUGAUUCACUCCACGCAUAGACCUGGUAUUACAGUACCCUCAAGAAUGGUGUACUUCCU